AGACCUCUUACUUUUAAAGGAUAGGAGUAAUCCNCUGGUC
rnacentral:tRNA from 1 species